rnacentral:rRNA from 1 species
AGCUCCAAUAGCGUAUAUUAAAGUUGCUGCGUUUAAAAAGCUCGUAGUUGGAUCUCAGUCUCGAUCAAUCGGUUCGCCUUCCGGCGUUACUGUUUGAAUCGGACGAUGUUUGCCACAUUUCCGGGCAUGCUCUUCACUGAGUGUGUCUUGGAGAGUGGAGCGUUUACUUUGAAAAAAUUAGAGUGCUCAAAGCAGGCGUUUCGCCUGAAUAGUCGUGCAUGGAAUGAUGGAAUAGGGCCUCGGUUCUAUUUUGUUGGUUUCCGGAACUCGAGGUAAUGAUUAAUAGGGACGGACGGGGGCAUUUGUAUUGCGACGUUAGAGGUGAAAUUCUUAGAUCGUCGCAAGACAAACUACUGCGAAAGCAUUUGCCAAGAAUGUUUUCAUUAAUCAAGAACGAAAG